GUGGCAGCCGCCGCGGUAAUACGGAGGGGGCUAGCGUUGUUCGGAAUUACUGGGCGUAAAGCGUCUGUAGGCGGAUCAAAAAGUUAGAUGUGAAAUCCCUGGGCUUAACCCAGGAACUGCAUUUAAAACUAGUGAUCUAGAAUUUGGUAGAGGAUAGUAGAAUUUCCAGUGUAGAGGUGAAAUUCGUAGAUAUUGGAAAGAAUACCAGUGGCGAAGGCGACUAUCUGGGCCAUUUUUGACGCUGAGAGACGAAAGCGUGGGUAGCAAACAGGAUUAGAUACCCUGGUAGUCCACGCAGUAAACGAUGAGUGCUAGUCGCUGGAUCAAUAGGUUCGGUGUCGAAGCUAACGCAUUAAGCACUCCGCCUGGGAAGUACGGUCGCAAGAUUAAAACUCAAAUAAAUUGACGGGGGCCCGCACAAGCGGUGGAGCAUGUGGUUUAAUUCGAAGCAACGCGAAGAACCUUACCAGUCCUUGACAUGGUGUGUUUGAAUUACAGUAUUGUAAUUCUUCAGUUCGGCUGGCACACACACAGGUGCUGCAUGGCUGUCGUCAGCUCGUGUCGUGAGAUGUUGGGUUAAGUCCCGCAACGAGCGCAACCCUCAUUUUUAGUUGCCAUCAGGUUAAGCUGGGCACUCUAAAGAAACUGCCGGUGAUAAGCUGGAGGAAGGCGGGGAUGACGUCAAGUCCUCAUGGCCCUUACGGACUGGGCUACACACGUGCUACAAUGGUGGUGACAGUGGGAAGCUAUUUCGCAAGAAAAAGCAAAUCUCAAAAAACCAUCUCAGUUCGGAUUGGACUCUGCAACUCGAGUCCAUGAAGUUGGAAUCGCUAGUAAUCGUAGAUCAGCAUGCUACGAUGAAUACGUUCUCGGGCCUUGCACACACCGCCCGUC
rnacentral:rRNA from 1 species